AUUUUCUUGGCUUCUUUUUUUUUUCUUUUUUUUUUUUUUUUUUUUUUUUAUAUAGACGUAUCCUACGGUCUCAUUCUCUCUAUGUACUCUUACAAAAUGUUCGACGAUAUCAAAACGAAUCGUUAGUCGUAAAAAUGCUAUCCCAAUAUUUUCCUGCAUGGGAUAGGGGAGAAGAGCUAGUGGGUGGUCUUCUUCUUUUUCGUGGGUAUCGCGAUAAUAGGUGUUUGUGCGAAUGUCGUGCACCCUUACAGAGGGAUCACGACAAAUCGACUUGCCGAUGUCACUCCCGCUGAAUCGCUUCCAUUCACUAAUUGUCCCUACUUUUGUAUCCCGUCGAAGGUCUAAGAAUCGAAAGAUAUCGUUCUUUCGAUUCAGACCUAUUGUCGAAAUACAUCCCUCGCUUUCUAUCUUCUUCUUUUUCUGUUUUUCUUUUUUCUUUUUUUUUUCUUUUUCUCUCUUUUUGUUCUCUUUCUUUCGAACGUCAAAACAUAGUUAAAUAUUUAUAAAUACGAUAAGAUCAAUGACCAAUAUUCUUAAGUGCUUCCUAUACGUUCCUACAUCUGCGUUCAAGUAAUAUAUUCAAAUAUUUAAUUUAAUUCUGUCGUAAUCGUAGUGCAGGAUAUUUUAUUUAAAAGAAAACCAAAGAAAAAAAAAAAAAAAAAAAAAAAAAAGAAAAGAAACAAAUCGAAUAUCGCAUCAAUAAAAAUGAAUUAAUUAUUCGAGAACACUUACUUGUGCAGGUGCAGCGAGACCAGCAGACAUUGCUGCUGCCGAUUGCUGAGCAGCCGCUGCAGCCGCAGCGGCCAUACUAGCUGCGGAAAGUGAACCAUAAGCUGCUGCUGGCCCAUAAUAUGGUCCCAUACCAGCUUGUCCCAUACUACCGGCCAUUCCUGUAACAAUAAUCGGAACGUUACAACGUGACACAUAAUAUCCAGCAUAUCGAUCAUUUCUGUCGAACAAACGAGAAUAUGAGGGAGAGAUAGAGUGAGUGAGAGAGAGAGAGAGAGAGAGAGAGAGAGAGAGAGAGAGAGGAGGAGAAGAAGCGCUUCAUUGUCCGAGAAUCGACAAAGCAAUGAGAAGACGUCGUUCAUAGCUCGUUUAAACGGCCGGAGUCUAUACGGAAGAAAAUCUUAAAAAAAAAAAAAAAAAAAAAAAAAAAAAAAAGAAAAAAGAAAGAAAGAAAGAAGAACGAUGAUUGGCAUCGAGUUCUUAGAUUUAUGAUCUUUUCGAUCGAUAAUCGAAUGAUCACCAACGAAUACACGUUUCACGUGUAUAUCUCGAAUAACGAUGGCUUAUGAUAACUCGUACAUUUUAAAGAAUAUUUACCGAUGAUCAUAUGACAAAGAAUGAUGAAUUUUUCUAAUGUCCCGAUAUGUUCGAUAAGCCUGACGAAUCGAAGAAAAGAAGAAAAAGAAAACCAAAACAAAAAAAAAAAUAAAGAAACAGGAAAAUAUAAAUAGAUAAAAAAGGAAA